UACGUAGGGGGCAAGCGUUGUCCGGAAUCAUUGGGCGUAAAGCGCGUGUAGGCGGCUCGGUAAGUCUGCUGUUAAAGUCCAGGGCUCAACCCUGGGAUGCCGGUGGAUACUGUCGAGCUCGAGUCCGGAAGAGGAGUGUGGAAUUCCGUGGUGUAGCGGUGAAAUGCGCAGAUAUCAGGAGGAACACCGAUGGCGAAGGCAGGUCUCUGGGCCACUACCGUGACGCUGAGAAGCGAAAGCAUGGGGAGCGAACAGG
rnacentral:rRNA from 1 species